rnacentral:rRNA from 1 species
CCUACGGGAGGCAGCAGUGAGGAAUAUUGGUCAAUGGACGCAAGUCUGAACCAGCCAUGCCGCGUGCAGGAUGACGGCUCUAUGAGUUGUAAACUGCUUUUGUACGAGGGUAAACGCAGAUACGUGUAUCUGUCUGAAAGUAUCGUACGAAUAAGGAUCGGCUAACUCCGUGCCAGCAGCCGCGGUAAUACGGAGGAUUCAAGCGUUAUCCGGAUUUAUUGGGUUUAAAGGGAGCGUAGGCGGAUUGUUAAGUCAGUUGUGAAAGUUUGCGGCUCAACCGUAAAAUUGCAGUUGAUACUGGCAGUCUUGAGUGCAGUAGAGGUGGGCGGAAUUCGUGGUGUAGCGGUGAAAUGCUUAGAGAUCAUACAGAACACCGAUUGCGAAGGCAGCUUACCAAACUAUAUCUGACGUUGAGGCACGAAAG